rnacentral:rRNA from 1 species
GAUGAACGCUGGUGGCGUGCCUAAUACAUGCAAGUCGAGCGAACAGACGAGGAGCUUGCUCCUCUGACGUUAGCGGCGGACGGGUGAGUAACACGUGGAUAACCUACCUAUAAGACUGGGAUAACUUCGGGAAACCGGAGCUAAUACCGGAUAAUAUAUUGAACCGCAUGGUUCAAUAGUGAAAGACGGUUUUGCUGUCACUUAUAGAUGGAUCCGCGCCGCAUUAGCUAGUUGGUAAGGUAACGGCUUACCAAGGCAACGAUGCGUAGCCGACCUGAGAGGGUGAUCGGCCACACUGGAACUGAGACACGGUCCAGACUCCUACGGGAGGCAGCAGUAGGGAAUCUUCCGCAAAGGGCGAAAGCCUGACGGAGCAACGCCGCGUGAGUGAUGAAGGUCUUCGGGUCGUAAAACUCUGUUAUUAGGGAAGAACAAAUGUGUAAGUAACUAUGCACGUCUUGACGGUACCUACUCAGAAAGCCACGGCUAACUACGUG